rnacentral:rRNA from 1 species
AAUCAACGCUGGCGGCGUGCCUAACACAUGCAAGUCGAACGCGAAAGUCCCGCAAGGGAUGAGUAGAGUGGCAAACGGGUGAGUAACACGUGGGUGACCUGCCUUCGAGCGGGGGAUAACGUCCCGAAAGGGACGCUAAUACCGCAUGACAUCCUGCCUUUGAAGAGGUGGAGAUCAAAGCUGGGGAUCGCAAGACCUAGCACUUGAAGAGGGGCCCGCGUCUGAUUAGCUAGUUGGUGGGGUAACGGCUCACCAAGGCAACGAUCAGUAUCCGGCCUGAGAGGGCGGACGGACACACUGGGACUGAGACACGGCCCAGACUCCUACGGGAGGCAGCAGUGGGAAUUGUUCGCAAUGGGCGCAAGCCUGACGACGCAACGCCGCGUGGAGGAUGAAGACCUUC